GCGUAUAUAGUUUAAUGGUAGAACGACUCCUUGCCAUGGAGUAAACGUGAGUUCGAUUCUCACUAUUCGCU
rnacentral:tRNA from 1 species